CCUACGGGCGGCAGCAGUGAGGAAUAUUGGUCAAUGGCCGGAAGGCUGAACCAGCCAAGCCGCGUGAAGGACGAAGGUGCCAAGCAUUGUAAACUUCUUUUGUCAAGGGACAAAAUCAGGCUCGAGAGCCUGACCGAGGGUACUUGAAGAAAAAGCAUCGGCUAACUCCGUGCCAGCAGCCGCGGUAAUAGGGGGGAUGCGAGCGUUAUCCGGAUUGAUUGGGUUUAACGGGUGCGUAGGCGGACUGUUAAGUCAGCGGUAAAAGCCCGGGGCUCAACCCCGGCGAGCCGUUGAGAUUGGCUGUCUUGAGAUGUCGAGAGGUAUGCGGAAUGCGCAGUGUAGCGGUGAAAUGCUUAGAUAUUGCGCAGAACUCCGAUUGCGAAGGCAGCAGACCGGCGGCGAUCUGACGCUGAGGCACGAAAGCGUGGGUAUCGAACAGGAUUAGAUACCCUUGUAGUC
rnacentral:rRNA from 1 species